GGGGCUGAACGGUUUCGACUUCGCGCAUCGAAUCAAGGGAAGCGUGCCGGUGCAGGCAAGAGACCACCGUAAGCGUCGUUGCGACCAAAUAAGCGCCGAUUCACAUCAGCGCGACUACGCUCUCGCUGCCUAAGCGACGGCUAGUCUGUCAGACCGGGAACGCCCUCGGCCCGGACCCUGGCAUCAGCUAGAGGGAUUCACCGAUGAGUCCGGUCGCGGGACUCCUCGGGACAACCACAGCGACUGGGAUCGUCAUCUCGGCUAGUUCGCGUGACCGGGAGAUCCGAGCAGAGGCAUAGCGAACUGCGCACGGAGAAGCCUUGAGGGAAUGCCGUAGGACCCGGGUUCGAUUCCCGGCAGCUCCACC
rnacentral:tmRNA from 1 species